rnacentral:rRNA from 1 species
UACGUAGGGUGCGAGCGUUAAUCGGAAUUACUGGGCGUAAAGCGUGCGUAGGCGGUUCUCCAAGUCCGUUGUGAAAGCCCCGGGCUCAACCUGGGAACUGCAUUUGUGACUGUAGAGCUGGAGUGCGGCAGAGGGGGAUGGAAUUCCGCGUGUAGCAGUGAAAUGCGUAGAUAUCAGGAGGAACACCGAUGGCGAAGGCAGGUCUCUGGGCUGAAACUGACGCUCAUGCACGAAAGCGUGGGGAGCAAACAGG